AGCUUUGCACAGUGGCAGUAUUGUAGCCAUAAGGUUUAUCCGAGGCGUGAUUAUUGCUAAUUGAAAACUUUUCCCAAUACCUUACCAUGACGACUUGAAAUGUAGUUGGCAUUGGUAAUUUUUGAUAGUCACUAUGGAGA
rnacentral:snRNA from 1 species